UACGUAGGGUGCAAGCGUUAAUCGGAAUUACUGGGCGUAAAGCGUGCGCAGGCGGUUCGCCACGUCAGGUGUGAAAUCCCCGGGCUUAACCUGGGAAUUGCGCUUGAAACUAGCGGGCUUGAGUGUGGCAGAGGGGGGUGGAAUUCCACGUGUAGCAGUGAAAUGCGUAGAGAUGUGGAGGAACACCGAUGGCGAAGGCAGCCCCCUGGGCUAACACUGACGCUCAUGCACGAAAGCGUGGGGAGCAAACAGG
rnacentral:rRNA from 1 species